rnacentral:rRNA from 1 species
AUUGAACGCUGGCGGCAGGCCUAACACAUGCAAGUCGAGCGGAUGAAGGGAGCUUGCUCCUGGAUUCAGCGGCGGACGGGUGAGUAAUGCCUAGGAAUCUGCCUGGUAGUGGGGGAUAACGUCCGGAAACGGGCGCUAAUACCGCAUACGUCCUGAGGGAGAAAGUGGGGGAUCUUCGGACCUCGCGCUAUCAGAUGAUCCUAGGUCGGAUUAGCUAGUUGGUGGGGUAAAGGCCUACCAAGGCGACGAUCCGUAACUGGUCUGAGAGGAUGAUCAGUCACACUGGAACUGAGACACGGUCCAGACUCCUACGGGAGGCAGCAGUGGGGAAUAUUGGACAAUGGGCGAAAGCCUGAUCCAGCCAUGCCGCGUGUGUGAAGAAGGUCUUCGGAUUGUAAAGCACUUUAAGUUGGGAGGAAGGGCAGUAAGUUAAUACCUUGCUGUUUUGACGUUACCAACAGAAUAAGCACCGGCUAACUUCGUG